UACGUAGGGCGCAAGCGUUAUCCGGAAUUAUUGGGCGUAAAGAGCUCGUAGGCGGUUUGUCGCGUCUGCCGUGAAAGUCCGGGGCUCAACUCCGGAUCUGCGGUGGGUACGGGCAGACUAGAGUGAUGUAGGGGAGACUGGAAUUCCUGGUGUAGCGGUGAAAUGCGCAGAUAUCAGGAGGAACACCGGUGGCGAAGGCGGGUCUCUGGGCUGUAACUGACGCUGAGGAGCGAAAGCGUGGGUAGCGAACAGG
rnacentral:rRNA from 1 species